rnacentral:rRNA from 1 species
CACGUAGGGGGCAAGCGUUGUCCGGAUUUAUUGGGCGUAAAGAGCUCGUAGGCGGUUCGGUAAGUUGGGUGUGAAACCUCCAGGCUCAACCUGGAGACGCCACCCGAUACUGCUGUGACUAGGGUCCGGUAGGGGAGCGUGGAAUUCCUGGUGUAGCGGUGAAAUGCGCAGAUAUCAGGAGGAACACCAGCGGCGAAGGCGGCGCUCUGGGCCGGAACUGACGCUGAGGAGCGAAAGCGUGGGUAGCAAACAGG